AACUAGUCUAAUAUCACAAUAUCAUCGAAUGAUUUUGACAUUAAAUAUUUAAUUUUGUUAAGUUUCCUGGACUUCCAAUAUAAAACUAAUUGGCUAUAAAUGGAGAAAUUCAAGUCCCUUAUAUACUAGUGUUGGUCUCUUUAAACUUACGAUGUGGGAUUCUAACAAAUUUCUUCUAAAUUGGGAUUUAAUUAGUUAUAGUGAUUCCUCUUAUACCUAACUCGUACAUUACGAAUCUCCAGAUUCUGAACUGAUCUAACAUGCAAAUCAACCUAAAUCCUUCAAAUACGAUACAGAGAGAGAGAGAUUUUUGGAUCGUUACCAUGGCGGAGAAAAGCUGACCACCGAGCCACGCGCCACCUCCGGGACUAACGGAUUGUUCAAUGAUCGCGACCUGAACGUUAGGGUUCUUACUGAUCUCGUAAGCACAGGAUAAUCCGGCGGAUCCAGCACCGACAACGACGACGUCGGUCUCGGCGUAAGUGAUCAUAUCAGUCAUGUACCGCCUGGUCAUCUCACGAGAGACGAUCGAUUCCUUUAUGGGAUCGAAAGUGAAGGCGUUUAGAUCGUAGCCAGAAGUGGCGCGAACGGAAAGAGAGGCAGAUCGUGGUUUGAGACCGACGGAGAUAGGUGCGGCCGAGAUUGAUGAGCCAUGGAAGGAGGAGUCGAAAAGCCUUUGAGGCUUGGUGGAAGAGAGAGAGAGAGUGGAAGUAAUGGCCGCCAUUUGAGAGAAAGAGGAAGGUUUUAGUUUCAGGUAUUAGUGAUGAUGAUGGUGAAGUGAAAGUGUGGAGGUUGUUUGAGUAUUUAAAUUAGAAGCAGAGACAGGGAAAAAAAUAUCUGGAGAGUGAUUGCCACGUCGGGAGAUAAGGAACGAAGGGUCAUCAAAUAUUGUUGGUAUUUUCUUUAAAUAUAUAUAUAUAUAUUGUCUAUUUAUUGCGAAAUUUUUUAGAAACAUUGGCAAGCAAUGAUCUCCUUUCUUCACGGUUCUAAUUGAAUGAAAAUGACUUUUGCAAUUUGACAGAAUUAAUAGUUUAACAAUCUUUAAUAUACCUAUAUAUAUCAUUUUCAGUUUUAAAUUAUUUUAAAAUAUUUUUUCUUGUUUAAGACAAUCAAUGUUUACAUAAACAUAUAAAUGGUACAAAUUGGCUAAACCAUAAAAAUUGUUUCGACAUUCAUUUUUGGACGUAUGGCCAAAAAGAGAAAAUAAAUAUACCAUAAAGUCUAUACCAUCAUCAUUAAUUACACGUAUUACUCAAUUUUUUUUUUUUAUCACACACGUAUUACUCAAUUUUAAAAGAAACUUAUCUGAUUUGAUCCGAUUAAGCACACAUCUUUGCUUGUCAGAAAAUAAUAAAUAUUGCCAAUUAGUAUUGUGAACUAUGGAGUUCAUGAAACAUAGAGAUUUUUUUUACAGUCAAAUUCAUCAGUUCGUGGUAAUGAAAUACCUAGAAGGGUUUUGUAUGGAAAAAAAAAAAAUAUAUAUAUAUAUAUAUAUAUAUAUAUAUAACCAUUUGCAAUAAAUGUGUGGUUACACGAACACAAGAAAGUGAAAUAUCUUUGUUCGAUCGAGAUGGCUUUGGACUUUCCUAGUGAAUAAGACAGUUCGUUAUUUAUGGUGCUAAAAAACAAAACAAAAAAAUAAAUAUUAUAUCAAUUUUUAUUUAUUUAUGAAUUAUAUGAUCGACAGGCAUGUUCUUUUUGGUCAUAGAAUCUUUUUUCUUUUGUGGACCAAAAUUAAAUCUGCAAUUCAAUAUCUAAAAUCUGCAUUUCAUAACUUCAGCCUUCAGGUUGUUGGAUGUUUAAUUUAAAAAUCAAAAUAUGUAUAAGUUAAUUGAAUUAUUUUGACAAAGGUCAAGCAGUAUGUCUUUCACUCUCUUUUUUUUUUUGUUUGACAAAGGUCCCAAGCCGUAUGUUUUUUUUUUGGGGGGUAAAAGCCUAUCCCAUUAUUUUGUGGCUGAAAAAAAUAAAGAUACUAUUUUGUGGUGUAAGCAGGUGAAGAAAGUGAACGGAGUGGAAGUGUUGAAUUUGAAGCACCUAUAGAGAAAUGUUAACGUUGCACAAAGUUUUGAGGUUGGACUUAGAUGAUGAACGAGUUGUUGGCUUGAAAACUUUAGAGAUCCAAAAAACCACUUCUUUGAUCUUGGAACGUCAUGGAAUCUGCGAUGUCCAAGGACCUUCAGACUAACAAAAUUUCCAGAAAGAACAAAAAAAAACUAAUUAAUUACUUGAAUAUAUAUCGUCAAUGAGUGAGUUUGGAUUUCAAUUUUUGUUGAUAGAUUUUUUUUCUUUUCCUUAACAUAUAAAGCGACUUAGUCUUAUUAUUAGUAUUUUUUUCCAAUCCAUCACCGCUACUGUUGGUGUCUAGGGAAUUGAGUGUGGCCAGUGGUGGAGGCAUGUAUAAGGAGAUGGGGGCAACUGCCCCUAAUAGAAAAUUUUGAUUAGUGUAAUUGUUAACAAUAAUAAUUACCCCCACACUAUACAAUAUAUAUGCCACCAUUAAAUAUUUUUGCUCUCAAUGGAAAAAAUUUCUGAGAUCAUUUUUUUUUUAGAACAGAAAAAGUAACAAGAAAUCUUGUCUUUUUAAAAAUAAUUAAAGCAGAGACUUAUAGAUUCCAAAAAACACAAAACGUAGUAACGUACCACGGUCCACAUGAACCUGAAACAAAUUUCAAUUCCGUUAUAGACCACAAAACUGAAUCGAAUACACAUCUGUCGGUUCAAUGUAUAUUAAGGUUUGUUGUUGGAAUCCACAAUUUGUAAAAAUACACACUCCAAAACAAAAGAUAGAAAAAAAAAAAAAAACGAAAUCCAAUCGAGCAUGCAUGGUGAUGGUGUUGCAGAUUGGCGAGACUCGUCUCGAUCCCUAACUUGACACAUCAAUGAAGUUUCCAACACCUAAUCCAAACAAAACUCUCAUGCGUGUUAUGUUCCAAGUGAAGACACACCAUCUCAUGCUUAUUACACGUGAGUGCCAUGCAAAACUCCUUCCUCUUCCAUAAAUAGCCCAUCACUCUUCACUUCAUCAUCACUCACACAUAAACCUCAAAUCAUCAAAUACAAUCUUUUCAGCCAUGGCUAAGCUCUUACUCGUUUUCGCAACUCUUGCCCUCUUCGGCCUCUUGGCCAACGCUUCCAUCUACCGCACGAUCGUCGAGUUCGACGAAGAAGAUGACGUCAGCAACCCAAUACGUCCACUACAAGGUAAGUGCCAAAAGGAGUAUAUGCAGCAACAGCAGCUAAGUGCUUGUAGGAAUUGGAUCCAGAAACGAGCUCAACAAGGAAGAAUCGGAUAUGAAGCUGAUGACUUUGAGCUCACUCUUGAUCUUGACGACGAUGAGAACCAAAUACCUCAGCAAAAACCAGCUCUGAAACAAUGUUGUAAUGAGCUACGACAAGUGGACAAGAUGUGUGUGUGUCCUACACUGAGACAGGCGGCUCAACAAGCUAGUUUCCAGGGAAUGCAUGGACCAGGACAGGUGAAACAUAUGUUCCGGAGUGCUAAGAACUUGCCUAAGAUCUGCAACAUCCGUGAAGUUGAAUCGUGCCAGUUCAAGGCAACUCCUUACUAAAGAUCAUGAGGACAAGUUUUUAUAAGGCGUGUGCGUUCACAUGGUGGUUUUGUUAAUGAUAAUAAAAAAGCCUUACUAUUGUGGCGUGUACGUGUUUAUAUCGUAAAAAAUGUUAUGUACUUGUUUGGUUAGAGUUAUAAUGGCAAUAUUACACCUUGUAGUGUAAUGUAAUUUGCCCUACUCCUUCUAAUAAAGAGUUUCUCUUUUGGUAAUGAAAAUCGUUAGCAUCAUGCUCUCUGACUCUCAUUUAUGUGUGUUGUAAUAAAUUAUUGAGAAUUAUGAUAUAAGGCUUGUGUCACGUACAAGAAGAAACCAGUGCAACUAGAACACACAAGGUCUACGAUUUAUAUGUCCACUGGCACUAAUACUAGAAGCUGUGAAAAAAAUUGAUUUAAGUGUUUGAUCCAAACAGUUGUGUUAUGCAAGCGCUUACAAGAGAGACGAGUUUCUUUUAGUCAUAAUUAGAAGGUUUGGAUAUCAUGAAACUGGCCAACUUAAUUAGUCACUGCUAGUAAUAAUAACAUCAUACAAGAAUCAGAAGCUAACCUCGGGGACAAUGAGCUAGGUAAAACAUAGCUUUGAUAUAAGCGGCUUGAAGUUGAAUAUCGCCAAUAAGGUUGUAUUUCAAUUGUUUUUGAUUUUAUUCUUUUUUCAAAACAUAAAAAGUGAGUUAGUUAUUAUCAUUAUCUAUUUUUUUCCGAUCAUUGUGCUUCCUCAACGCUUCUUUGGAGUUUAUGGAAUUGAGUAUGGAUCAUUGAAUUUUGUAAGAAGAGAAAAAUAGUAACAAGAAAUCUAAGUUCUUUUCAAAAUAAUUUAGGCAAAGCAUAUGUUACCUUAGAAAAAACUAGAUUCAAAACCAAAACACAAGCCGUACCAAAUUAAUCCGACGUAAAUUUCAAUUCCAUUAUAGACCAAAAAACGAAUUGAGUAUACAUAUAAUGUAUGAUGUAUAUGUCAGUUCAAUAUUUAUUAAGGGUUGUUGUUGGAAUCCACAAUACACACUCCAAAACAAAACAGAGAAAAAAACAAAGAUGAAUCGAGCAUGCACAUGGUGUUGCACAUGCGGAGACAAGUCUCGAUCAUUCACUUGACACAUGCAUCAUUGAAUUUUCGAACACCUAAUCCAAAUAAAAAUCUAAUGCGUGCUAUGUUCCAAGCGCAAACACACCAUCUCAUGCUUAUUACACGUGAGUGCCAUGCAAAAUUCCUUCCUCUUCCAUAAAUAACCCAUCACUUUGACUUCACUUCACUUCACUUCAUCAUCUCUCACCCAUAAACCUCAAAUCAUCAAAUACUAUCUUUUUUUAGCAAUGGCUAAGCUCAUUCUCCUUCUCGCAACUCUUGCCCUCUUCGUCGAGUUCGACGAAGAAGAUGACGUUAGCCACCCAAUGUGUCCACUGUCCACAGAAAGGUAAGUGUCAGCAACAGAACAUAGGAGCUUGUAAAGAUUGGAUCCAGAAAUGAGCUCAACAAGGAAUAAUCGGAUAUGAAGCUGAUGACUUUGAGAUCACUCUUGAUGUUGAUCUUGAGGACGUUGAAAACCCAAAACCAGUUCUUGAAAGGUGUUGUGAUGAGCUAAGAGGAGUGGAAAAGAUGUGUGUGUGUGUCCUUCACUGAAACAGGCGGCUCAAGAGGUGAAACAUUUGUUCCAGAGUGCUAAGAACUUGCCUGAGAUCUGCAUGAUCCCUGCAGUUGUUCAAGGCUCCUUACUAAAGAUCACGAGGACAAGUUUUUAUAAAGCGUGUGCGUUCACAUGGUGGUUUUGUUGUUGAUAAUUAGAAGUCACACUAUUGUGGCGUGUACGUGAUAUAAAACGUUAUGUACUGUUCGAGUUAAAGUAAUGUAAUCCGACCUGUGUCAUUGAUUGACACCUGGACAUGGUUCUUGCGUACAAAAGAAAAGAAGAAACAGGGGAAGGCUUUGUGUCACGGACAAGAAGAAACCAAUGCAACUAGGACACACAAGUUCUACGAUUAUAUGAGAAGAGAACCACUGGCACUAAUACUAGAAGCUGUGAGAAAAUAAAUGAUAAUAGCGUUUGAUUCAAGAAACUGUUGUGUUAUAUAGAAAACGUUUACAAGAAAGUGCUUUUAUACAUCUUACACCUAAAGAGAAAACGCGUGGAGUUGGCUCCUGAUCUUGAUCUAAUUUUAACUAGACAAGAGUACUUUCUUUUAGUCAAAGUUAGAAAGGUUUGGAUACUCUACAUGCAAAAUCAUGAAACUGACCAACUUUUUGUGUUUGUGUGCUAAUUUGUAAAUAUUCAUUAAUAGUGAAAUGUUUAGGUUACGAAUUGAUUGACCUAAAAAAAAAAAACAUGGAUUGAAUAUCAUGAAACGGACCAAUUAGCCACUGCUAGUAAUAAUUAAUAGCAUCAUACAAGAAUUCAGACGCUAACCUUGGGAAUCACUGAGGUAAAACACAGCUUUGAUACAAGUGUCUUGAAAUUGUGGAAAUCAAACCACAGACAGACAGUUAUGCUUAUUUGGAAUACAUCUAAAACAAAAAUGGAGAAAAUAGCUAGGGACAUAGUGUGAAUAAUUUUUUUAUUUAUUUUUAUUGAAAGACAUGAAGCUCAGCAAAGAGAAUCUUAAAGUGAAAAGCCGGACGAACACUAAAGAAUCAUCAAACAAAAACACCAUUGAACAAGAGUCAUAGAGCUCCUUAGUAGGCCUCACAUGGGCCUAAUCUUUAACUCUAGUUUUCGGGUCAGUUUCUGAGCUAGUGAUUGGUUUACAUGAACCAAUCAAAGUUAUAUUAAACCAACUUGAACCAAAUUAGUUUAUCUGAUAACCAAUAAAAUAAUUUAAAACAAAAAAACAGAAAUCAAAAGUAAAAUACUGUAAUCAAAUACUAUAAAAAAAAAGUAAAAUACUGUAAUCAAAUUCUUAAUCUAAGACUAGCGCACGUCACGGGCAAAUAAAAAAGAAUAACGCACGUCGUACAAAUUUUGGUGGAUUUGAUUGGUUUAGAUGAAUUUUUAUAUAAGCUAAAUUGGUUCAAGCUCAGUUCGUUAAAAUCGACAAUGAAUUGGUGUAAACACAAUAGUAAGUAGAAUAUAAAUCUAAAAAAUUCUAUCCAAACGAGAAUUAAAAUCUAUCGAGCUUCAGUUGAUAUUUAGGUUUGUUUGGUUUGAUUAUUGGUAUAAUAACCAAUUAAACCAGACACUUCACAAUUACUGGUAAUAUACUUUUUAUUUAUUUAAAUAAAUUGGGAAAGAGACGUGGAAGGUGAGUCUCUCUCGCUCUCUCUCUGGUGUAGUAAAUACAAAGACGAUACGUAAAAGAGAUCUCUUUUUUUUUUUUUCAUUUAAAUAAGAAAAGAAAAAUCAUUUAUGAAGUUUGAAACAGCUUUCGUCUCUUAGGUCUUCGCUCUCUUAUCCUAAAAUCUUUCCCCUUUCUUGCUCCUAAACGUUUCCAAAGUCUUAAUCAGAUUCCUGCUUCAGGACACGCUUAAUUCCUCUUUUUUUUUUUUCUGGGUAUUUCAAUUUCAAAUUCUUUCUCAAUUUACCUCCCGAUUCCAUCAAAAACACGAAUUUGUUCAUUCAUUUGUUCGUUUAUUUUUUUCUUUCCGAUUUCUAGGUAUAUAUGAUCAUCUUCUUUAGCGGUUCAGCCUAAGUAUUUUCAGUUUGAUCGCUAAUUCUUUGUUCUGGGUUUUGCAAAUUAUUCAGUUUUUUUUUCCUUUUUGAUCAAAGCUUUGAUUUGUGUUUCGGUGUUUUUCUUGCUUCGUGACAACUUGAAGAAGAAGCAAAAAUUUCCGAGUUUGCGUGUAAUUUGUUUCUAUUUUUAGAUUCCAAUUUCAUUUUUGAUCUUCAGUACGUAAUAAAAUCUCAUAGAAUUUGCUCAAUUUCGGUACUUUUCUUGGGCAUUUUAAAUUGGAAUUAUCCCCUCCCUCUUUCUCGGAGAUUCCAUCGUGAAAGAUUUUCUUGGAAAAAUCUCAGGCGUAGAAACAGAGACUAAGUGAUGAGGAAGAACGGCGACGGUUCUCCGAAGUCGCCGACGACUACGGACGGAGUUGUGUCGCGAUCAGCUCGGAGCUCGUUUCGUGCUUUGUCUAACUGUCUUCGGGUGAUUUCCUCUGGUGCUUCCACGGUUGCUCGCUCCGCCGCAUCCGCCGCUUCUUCCGCCGUUAACCGUGACAUUGACUCUCUUCACGAUCAGGUAAAAAAAGUUGCUUUCAAUUCGGAACAAAAUUGUAUGAAACUAUGUUUAUGUGUUGUGUUGCUUUCUUCGAAAUUGAGGAACUUUCUCUGAAAUUGAGGAACUUUCUCUGCGUUAUUAGUCCAAGUUAGGAACUUGUUAUGAUGGGUCAAAGAAUCUUGCCGGUUCUUGGGGUGAAACUAUGCUUAUGUUUCUCUUCAAGGGACAGUAAUCUUUUGGGGUUUUGCUUCAUUUGGUUGAUGAUACCUUAAAAGAUCGACCUUUAGGUUACUCUAUUGAGAAGUUUUUGGGUGUUUUUGAUGAAAAAAGGUACUAUGGGCGGGGUUUGAUAAGCUAGAGAAAGAUGAUGGCGAUACUCGAAGAGUUCUUCUACUAGCGUUUCAGUCUGGAUUUCAAAUUUGGGAUGUUGAAGAAACAGAGAACGUCCAUGUUAUAGUUUCUUCACAUGAUGGACAAGCAUCGUUUAUGCAAAUGCUGCCUAGCCCAAUAGUCUCUGAAGAUUUAGAUGACAGGUUUUCUGAGAGCCGUCCUCUUGUGGCUGUGUGUGGUGACAGUUCUUGGGAAGAAAGUUCAGACAGACAGAGCAUUUCUAAGAAUGAUAGUCCCGAAAGUGAAGUCGUAGUUUCUACAAAUGUGCAUUUCUACUCGUUAAAGUCUAAGUCUUAUGUGCAUACGUUGAAAUUCCGGUCUAUGAUCUAUACGGUUAGGUGCAGUUCUCGGAUUGUUGCUGUACUACAGGCAUCUCAGGUUCGAAAUUUGUCACAUUGUGUCUGAUUUUGUUAACGUGAUUUGUCUAUUCUGAAACUAACAAUGUGUAACUUAAAAACUUGUAUUUUGCAGAUACAUUGCUUUGACGCUACAACAUUGAUAAAGGAGUACAUGAUUAUCACUAACUCCAUCACGUAUUGCUCCUUGGGUGUUGGAUAUGGUCCUCUUGCAGUUGGUCCACGAUGGAUUGCUUAUAGCGGAAGCCGUAUUGCUGACUCAAGUUCCACACUUUUCACUCCAGAGCUUAUCUCACUGUCAUCAUCACCCUCUGUUGCACAAUUUGCAAGAGACUCGAGCAGGCAGAUCGCUUCUGGGAUCGUGACUCUUGGAGACAGAGGGUACAGGUCAUUGACUAGGUACUGCUCAGAGGUUCUGCCCAAUCCGUAUAUUCCUGGUUUGAAAGCUCUCGGAGUUUCUAAUGACAAUUCGCCAGACGCGGAUAGCAUAGGAAGGGUAUACUCCAAAUUUUCCUCAUGUUGUUUUGCUCUCAAGUUGUGAUUUUCCAUUGAUAUGUGCUUUAAAACGUUUCUAUGGGGUGUGUUGCAGGUGAUAAUCAAAGAUUUUAUAAGCAAAAGCGUCAUAACGCAGUUUAAGGCACACAAGAGUCCGAUUUCAGCUUUGAGCUUUGAUCCAAGCGGCAUGCUUUUGGUGUCUGCUUCGAUUCAGGGACACAAUAUUAACGUCUUUAGAAUAAUGCCAAGAACCUCUGCAAGUAACGAUGGGAACACACAGUCUUUUGUGCAUAUGUUCAGGCUCCAGCGAGGUUUUACUAAUGCGGUAAGCAGAGCCCUUCAUUUACACCUUUUGAGAAAAUCUGACGUCUUUGACUAACCCUGAUGAGAUUUUUUCAGGUGAUACAAGACAUCAGUUUCAGCAAUGAUAGCAAUUUGAUAGUGAUUAGCUCUUCAAGAGGGACAAGCCAUCUGUUUGAGAUUAAUCCCGAGGGAGAGGGGAAUUCUCCGAUUCCUCUAUCAGCGAUUAGUAGGAUAAGAAGUGGAAACAUCAGCGGAUGGAUGGGAACAAUGAGCGGUGCUGCAGCUGCAGCAGCUGGAAUGGUUGGAGGCUCUCUUCCGGGUGCAAUCACAUCAACUUUCUGUUACUGCGUUGAACAGAAUAAGAACAAGAACUAUGGUUCUGCUUCUGAUAAUAGCUCCAAGAGGAAUCUUCUGGUUUUUGCUCCUUCUGGAUGUAUGACACAGUAUGCAUUGAAAGCAAAUCCGGUUGGGGAUGGUCAUGAGACUGCGGUGAUGACAAGGUUUGAUUUUGAGUCAGGUCCAGAGACUGAAGGGAAAGUGGCGGUUGAGCCAAUACGAAGGUGGUCCAUGAUCCAAAACCAGUCUAGAAGAGAGAUGCAAGAUCACCACAGUGACAUAUAUGGAGGUGGAGCAACUUCAUCGGAUUCUAAGAGUAAAGUGUUUCCCGAGAUUGUUAGGAAGCAGAGCGCUGAGGAAUCUUGGAAAGUAAGUAGGAAAGGAAAGGCCCGUGUGGAAGAUAAUCAUCAGUUGUACAUAUCUGAAGCAGAGUUGCAAAUGUAUCACCCAUCUCAGAAACCGUUAUGGGCAAGGCGAAAGGUAAAGUUUACUCUUUGUGUUUGAGAGAAUGAUCUGAAAAGUGGUAAUGGCCGUGUUGUGUGGAUAUGUCUGAUACUUUGUAUUUUGCACAAAACAGUUUAGGUUUCAAGAACUGGUGUUGGAUCUGAAUGAAGUGAGUAGCGGUUGUGGAGGAGGGGAGAUGGAGAUUGAAGAUAUCCAAACUCGAACAAUUGAAGCAAGAACAAGAGAUUUGGUUCCAGUCUGGGGUUCUUCUCCUAGAUCCCAACAAGUGAUGGAACAGUGAGUUUUCGGAAUCUAAUCCAUGCUCUACACUUAAGGUUUUUCUCUCUGGUCUCUGUCACAGUUUCUUGGCACUAAUAUUAUUAUGUCACAGAUCAUCGCAGAGUCCAAGGGCCAGUACACAAGGUGAUCAUCAAGUGGCUUCUCCAGAGGGUCAUGGAACGGAGACAGGGUUCGGAGUUGUACAUGGCAAGGAAGAGAGCUCGAAAACAGAGGAAGAGAGCACGAGAUCUGAAGAAGAUAGCUCGAUAUCAGAAGAAGAGACUCAAAGCAAGCCUGUAGAUAAUGAAGAAGAAGGCAUUGCAGAGGAAAAGAGUGAUAGUGAAGAGGAAUUGGAAUAGAAGAAGGUGAUGUUGUUAUUGGUUUAUUUUUUUCACCACGAACUCAGCUUCAAAGUUCAACAACAGAAGAACAAAAAUAACAGUGGAAAAUUGUAUAGAAAAAGGAAAAGAAAAUUUGUAUAUCUUUUAGACGUAAAGAAAAUUAUACUUUUCUUUUCUUUCGGAUGCCUAUUGAUUCAUAGGAUGUAAAGUGUAAACAAAUUUUUUUUUUUAUAUAUACACACGUUUAACUGCACUUUUGUUAUCAAGUUUGUAAAGAAAGAAGUGUUCACCCACAUAAAAAUGUGUUAUUUACAAAGUAGAAAACACGGAAGACUUAUGAUGAACAGAAGUGAACAUAGACACUAACAGUAAAGAAAGAGGGUCAAUAUCGAAAUUCGAAGAAACCAUUAGUUCUGAAAAUUAUGAAAGUUGAGGCUCCAAUGUCUUUGUAGAGUAUCGGUAACUUUACAUCAAUUUGGAGAAACAAAAUGGUUACUCUAUGCCACUCACUCUUGCUUUCGCUAGCUUGACGCUAGGCGUUGUGUUUGUUUAUCUCUGACUAAAUGCGUGUUAAGGAAGGUUAAUCUUCUUUGUCUACCUUUGACCUGUCCAUGUCUACACAUAGAACUGUACGUAUUUUUUUUUUUUUUGACCAAAUGGUUUAACUAAUUUAUAAGAUUAUAUGGCAGUUAUGAAACAAAAAGAAAGAUUAUAUGGCUUUUCAAUAAAUUUUAAAGCAUUUUAUGAUCUCUACACUUUCUUUUUCCACAACCUCUAAGUAUUGUAUUAAUUUAUAUCAGACGCACGGAGUAUAGGAUAGCGUUUCUUUUUCGUAGAUAUUCAGAGUGUGAACAGAUAAGAUUAGUGACAUUUGCAAUAAACUACUAUAUAGUUUAGACUUAAGAGUGUUUGACAAAAUCUACAAGUAUGUUUUGAGUGUUUUUUUAGCUAGGGGACCAAUGACGAAGAAGUAAUGAAACUUGUACGUAUACUAAAAUUGGAACGAUGACUUUAUGCAUGGAUGUCACGUGUAAACAGAGAAAAUUGUCCAAAUUUACUGCCCAUAAUAAUAUAUAAAAUAAAAAAAAGUUGACGAAGAGAGUAUGGUUAACCUUAUAAGAGAGUAUAUAAAGGAACCGUUAAGAGAAUGAAUAUAACUAACUUAAAAAGACAAAAUACAAAUUAGUCUAAAUCUAAAAUAGAUAAAGCCACUUGAAACUAGAGAGAAUCUCUAAACGACAUGGCCAUCUUAGAAGAGAAUCUGUCUAUGUUGGAGGAAACAUACGAGGGAACGGAUUUGCACCUAGCCUCAAAGCUAGGGUACGAGGUACAUGCAAAGAGCAUGAUCGAGCUCCGUAAUGCCUUAAUCAGUUCCAUCAACUCCAAAGGUGACACUCCUCUUCAUCUUGCUGCUAGCUUGGGACACACCAGCAUCUUGAUUUGGAUGUUAGAGUCCAUAGAAUUGCAUAACGCAUGCGAGACAAAAGCCCUAGAAGUUCCAAAACUUUCAGAAAUGAGGAAUAAUGAUGGCUUGACACCUCUGCAUUGUGCGGCAAUGAAUGGUUCAGUUGAAAUCCUUAGGGUAUUUCUCGAUAAGUUUCCCUCUUCUUUCUACUCAGUCACAUUAGAAAAGAAAGAGACUGUGUUUCAUGUAGCUGCAAGACAUAAGAAGGACGAAGCCUUCAUCUUCAUGGCAAAGAGUGACAAGUUAGGUCAACUUCUCUACCAGCUCGAUGUAGAGGGCAACACUGUGCUUCACGCUGCAGCCUCUGUAGGCUCUAUUGACGUAAGUUUUCUCUUCCUCCUUCGCCUUCUUCUUUUCUUUUUUCGUUUUCUGUACCUUGUGCUUAGACCCAACGAUGACUAUUUUUUCUUUUAACGAACCAACGAGGACUAUAUAGAAAAUAUGAUUAAAACAAAAUUUUCUUCCAACCUCUUUUAAAGUUUUGAAUUGCUUUAAACGUUCCACCUAACAACCUUUUCUCUUCUUUAACAUUACUUGGUAAUACUAUAUAUAAUCACCGUUAUGCGAAAAAAAAUUAUGUAGAAUCGUUUUUAUUUUGAUUUUUUGACUAAAGGGUUGUACGUAGAAUCGUUAUUUGAUAGUAAGAAAACUAUCAAAUGAGUGAAAUACUAACUAAAUGCAUGUAAAAUAACACUUUCAUGAAAAAAAGUUUUCAAAUCAUAUCACUUUUCAUGAAAGUGUUAUUUUACAUGCAUUUAGUUAGUAUUUCACUCAUUUGAUUUGAAAACUUUAAAUAUGUGCGGUUUCUGUUGUUGGUUUCCUGCUUCGGUUAACAUUUUCCAUUUGGACAUCUUACAGCUGGUAAAAUAUAUAAUAAAGGAAACAGAAGUAAAAGUCACCACCAAGAACAAGAAGGGUUUUGUAGCGGUUGACCUUCUCAACAAAGAUGAUGGAGAUUUCCUUCAGCUAUUUACCGCUCUGAUGAUGUGUGAUCUGGAAAUAGUAAUUGAACGCCCACCGAGUCCUAGAGAAAUGGGAAAUUUUGAUAGCCAAGAAGUCGAUGACUUGAAGCUCCAGAAGGAAAUUGUAAGAGUUAAAAGUAGUCCAAACAAAAAAUUUGAGAUGCAAUUGGAGGCUUUGCAAAGCGCUAGGAAUACUCUCACCAUUGUCGCGGUCUUGAUUGCAUCGGUUACUUUUACAUGCGGUAUAAACCCACCUGGUGGGGUCUAUCAAGAAACAUCUUCCAUAGGGAAAUCAACUGCGGCAAGAACCUUAGCUUACAUGAUCUUCACGAUAAGCAAUAGCAUCGCUUUGUUUACAUCAGUGAGUAUGGUCGUUCUUCUCGUCAGCAUUAUACCAUACAAACAGGAAUCACUUUUGAAAUUCUUAAUUAUAGCUCAUAGGAUGAUGUGGGUGGCUGUUGGAGCCAUGGCAAGUGCUUAUGUCUCUGCAACAUCGGUAAUUUUACCUAAUUUUGGAGAAACCAAAUGGUUACUCUAUGCCACUCUUGCUAUCGCUAGCUUGACGCUAGGAGUUAUGUUUGUUUAUCUACAUUGCAAGCUGGCUAAAUGUCAUAAAAGGAAGGUUCAUCUUCUUGGCCGCUUGACUACCCCACCAGUACGCAAUAGGUACGUAGACAUGGCCGCUAAUAUCGAAAAAGGCUACUAUAGUUUAUCAUGAUAUUGUACGAUUCACUUGAUCUAAGUUAUCAGGGGCGGAUGUAGUACAUGAGUAGUAGGGUCAAGUAUCCCCUACUCUUUUUUAUUUUUUUCUUAAAUGUUUAAGUAAAUUUAAUUAAAUAUAUUUAAUUUAGUAGAAAAAAAAAGUUUUUUGCCUCCAACUAUUUUUUUUUUCUGUUUAUAAGCUUAUGCCCUCCAACUUAAUUUUUUUCUAAAUCCGUCACUAUAAGUGAUUGAUGUUUUUUUAUGGUGUGUGUCGAUGCCUAUCAUCUCCAGUGUUCAAAUUGGGAUAUCUGUUGUAGACAACAAAAAACUAUAACAAAUGUUUCGGAUAAUAUGUAUGUUGUUAACCAAAAGUUUUUCUAAAAAUGUACAAUAUAAUUUUUAUCUACUAUGGAUACAAAUAACCUUUGAAAUCCCACCUCUUACUUUAGCUUUUCGGAUUUAAUACUUUUGUAUCGAUUUUUUUUAAUUUAUUUUAUUUGAUAGAUGUCCUCUCCAACUUAGGUUCGAUCCUCUAUAUGACAAUAUAUCUCAUGUGAAAAUUGUAAGCCACAUGUAUCUUUAUCAAGACCGUAGACGUAGGCCCAAAAGGUUUCCAUAACUAGCAGAAAUUGAAACGUGCAAAUCUGCCAAAUCAUAACACAGGAAAGGCAAAAAGGCUAAAGUAUUACAAAUUACAAAAAGACUUCUUGUUUGGGUAGGGGCGAGACAGAACAACUUAAUUAAGUUUAAAAAAAGGGUAGCUAUAGAAACUAAAGAUGAAAUUAGUCCUCAAAAAUUAAAGAGCAUAGACACUAACAGUAAAGAAAGAGGGUCAAUAUCGAAAUUCGAAGAAACCAUUAGUUCUGAAAAAUUCUGAAGUUGAAGCUCCAAUGUCUUUGUAGAGUAUCGGUAACUUUACAUUAAUUUGGAGAAACAAAAUGGUUACUCUAUGCCACUCACUCUUGCUUUCGCUAGCUUGACGCUAGGCGUUAUGUUUGUUAUCUCUGGCGAAAUGCGUGUUAAGGAAGGUUAUUCUUCUUAUCUACCUUUGACAUUUACUUUAUCUUUCUGAAAAAAAAAAAAAAAGAUUUUUCCAUGUCUACACAUAAAACUGUACGUUUUUUAUUUAUUUUAACCCACGGAGUAUAGGAUAGAGAUUCUUUUUCGUAGAUAUUCAGAUUGUGAACAGGUAAGAUUAGUGACAUUUGCUAUAAACUAAUAUAUAUUUUAGACUUAGGAGCGUUUGACAAAACCUACAAGUAUAUUUGAGUUUUUUUAGCUAGGGAACCAAUGACGAAGAAGUAAUUAAACCUCUUCGUAUCCUUAUGACUUUAUGCAUAGAUGUCACGUGAACCGAAAAAAAUUGUCCAAAUUUUACCCCCACUAUGAUAUAUAAAUUGGAAAAAAGAGUUGACGAAGAGGGUAUGGUUGGCCUUAUAAGAGAGUAUUUAAAGGAAUUGUUAGGAGAAUGAAUAUAACUAUAACUUAAAAAGACAAAUGCAAAUUAGUUUAAAAAUAUCAAAUAGAUCCUAAGACCAAAGAGCCCCAAAGCCACUUCAAACUAAAGAGAAUCUCAGAGUAAAACUGGAACGAUGACUUUAUGCAUAGAUUUAUUGUCACGUAUAAACAGUAAAAAUUGUCCAAAUUUUACUCCCCACUAUAAUAUAUAAAUUGAAAAAAAGGAGUUGACGAAGAGGGUAUGGUUGACCUUAUGAGAGGGUAUUUAAAGGAACCGGUAAUUAAGAGAAUGAAUAUAAGAAUAACUUAAAAAGACAAUUGCAAAUUAGUUUAAAAAUCUCAAAAUAGAUUCUAAGACCAAAGAGUUCCAAAGCUACUUGAAACUAAAGAGAAUCUCAGACUAACUGGGAUGAUGACUUUUUGCAUGGAAGAGGGUAUGGUUGACUUUAUAAGAGAGUAUUUAAAGGAAUCUUUAAGAGAAUUAGAGAAAUAAUAUCACUAUAACUUAAAAAGACAAAUACAAAUUAGUUUAAAUAUCUCAAAUAGAUCCUAAGAUCAAAGAGUCCCAAAGCCACUUGAAACUAAAGAGAAUCUCAGACUAACUGGAACGAUGACUUUAUGCAUGAAUUUAUUGUCACGUGUAUACCGAAAAAAUUGUCCAAAUUUUACUCUCCAUAAUAAUAUAUAAAAUGAAAAGAAAUGUUGACGAAGAGGGUAUGGUUGACCUUAGACCAUUAUUAUCGCAGAGUUUUAUAUAGGUUUCUUAGCCCAAAAAACGAAUAAAAUAAUGUUUUAAGCCCAAAAUUAAUAAAAAUCGAUUCUUAUUUGGGACCUGCAAGAAACGACUCUUAUUUCACACGUGUCAUAAAUCUAUUGGACAGACAAAUCUCUCGGCCAAAUUUUCAAUUCUCGACCAUUUUUCCUCUUCAGAUUCCGACUCUUCAUUCUUCGACCAUUUCCCGGUCAAAUCAUCUCCACCGACGAUUCAUCCUCAUCUUCGUCCCCAUCUCCGACGCGUUGCCUGUCUCCUCCAAGCCGAUACACCUAUGAUGCCCCGAGAUCUAUGUCACCGUCUCAUAAACGAUUCGCGAAGAAAACCAGCUCGUAGAGGUUUGUUACUCUUCACUUUCCUCUUUGGCAAUGAUGGUUUUGAGAAAAAUGAUGAUUUGAAUCUUCAAUUAGGUGAUUACAGACUUGGGAGACCACCUGACGCACGUUAUCUCAGUGAACCUGGAUGAUAAUCCUAUUUAAUUUGAUGGUGAUUUGAUAUCCUCUUUAAUCAUAAGGCCUGGUGUUGGCAAGACCACUGUUUUGCUAGAGAUUGUUUGUGUCUUGUCCGAUGAAUUCCAGAAAAAGAGUGGUGGGUCUUCUUGUCCUUCCUCUAUAUUUCUCUUAGCCCUGAAAGGUUUUGUUUUUUUCUUUUUGAUAAAAAGUGAUUUAGUAUGUGCAAUGUGUGUUUAGAUGAUAAUUGAUACAAGUAACGAAAUAGGAGGAGACGGCGAUAUUCCACACUUGGCGAUUGUAGGUGCAUAGAAUGCAAGUGUCGAAGCCAUCUCUGCAGCAUAAAGUGAUGAUCGAGGCAGUAGAGAACCAUAUGUUUCAGGUGAUCAUCGUUGAUGAGAUCGGCACAGAAGCUGAGGCGCUUGCUUGUCGUUCCAUUGCUGAGCGGGGAGUGAUGCUAAUUGGCACUGCUCAUGGAGAACAGCUCCAGAACAUCAUAAAGAAUCCUACUCUUUCAGACUUGGUAAUAAUUGCUGUUCUGAAAUGUUAUAUUUAUCCCUUUGCUUCAGCUUUUUUUCUCAAUGUUCUUUGUCCCUUUACUGAUUUUUUCACCAAAUCUGUUCUUGCCUCUGCAGUCACUAUCUUCUUGACAUUCAAUAUAUUCUUGGCUUACUCUUGUGCAGACUGAAAAGAGUGUUGAUAUGUUGCUUCGAGGAAGAAACCCCAUGGUUGAGGUACACAAUAACUGAAUAUACAUAAUGAUGGUUGAUCGGUUGAGAUGUAAAGGGAACUGAUUUGACUUGUGUAGGCUAUUAUAACUAUGGUUUUCGAUUUCUAGGUAAGGAGAAGAGAUGAGGAGUUCAACGUAGUGAUAGAAAGAUGGAAGUCAUACGAUUGACAAGGCAUCUGAGUUUUCCUUUUAAUGGUUGUUCAUGUCACAAAUUCUGUCUUUCUUGUGAACAAAGGUGUUGUCAGUAGAUUGAAAAAACAAAAAAAACAUUUGUAUAAAUGACUAAUGCAAUUUGGAGAUUGUGUGUCCAUGUCUAUUUAGAAAAACAUGACAUGAGGUAUUAAAACUUCCCUCUGCUUGCUUCUUCUCACUAGUACCAAUCUUCACUAUUAAUUUUUUUUUUUUUUAGAAACUCAUUUAGAGGUUUUGCAAUGAACCAUCAAAAAUAUUGAGUUUCUUGUUAAGAGUUUUUAAUCUAUAAUUAAUAAUAAAAAAUUGUUAAGAAACUCAUUAGAAGUUUUAGGGAUAAUGAUGCUCUUAUAAGACAGUAUAUAAAAGAACCGUUAAGAGAAUGAAUAUAACCAACUUAAAAAGACAAAUGCAAAUUAGUCUAAAUCUCAAAUAGAUCCUAAGACCAAAGAGUUCCAAAGCCACUUCAAACUAAAGAAAAUCUCAGAAACGACAUGGCUAUCAUAGAAGACAAUCUGUCUAUGUUGGAGGAAGCAUACGAUGGAACCGUUUUGCACCUAACCACGCAGCUAGGGUUCGAGGUACAUGCAAAGAAGAUGAUCGAGCUCCGUACUGCCUUAAUCAGUUCCGCUAACUCCAAAGGUGACACUCCACUUCAUCUUGCUGCUAGCUUGGGACACACCAGCAGGGCCGGCCCAGUUGUAUCUGACGCCUAAAGCAAAAAUAAAUAUUUACAUAACAAAUACAUGAGGGAGAAUCGAACUUGGGUCAUUUGACAACAGAAUGAUGGACUAACCACUAAACUAUAAAAGGAACUUAACUAAAAUUUGCUACUCUUAAUAUUUAUACUAAAUUUGGUGCCUAAAGCCUAUGCUUUAGCAGCUUUAGUUCAGGGCCGGCCCUGCACACCAGCAUCUUACUUUGGAUGUUAGAGUCCAUAGCAUUGCAUACCGCAAGCGAGACAAAAGCCCUAGAAGUUCCAAAACUUGCAGAAAUGAUGAAUAAUGAUGGCUUGACACCCCUGCAUUGUGCGGCAAUGAAUGGUUCAGUUGAAAUCCUUAGGGUAUUUCUCGAUAAGUUUCCCUCUUUAUUCUACUCAGUCACAUUAGCAAAGAAAGAGACUGUGUUUCACGUAGCUGCCAGACACAAGAAGCAAUAAGCCUUCAUCUUCAUGGCAAAGAGUGACAAGUUAGGCCAACUUCUUUACCAGCUCGAUGUAGAGGGCAACACUGUGCUUCACGCUGCCGCCUCUGUAGGCUCCAUUGCCGUAAGUUUUCUAUUUCUCCUUCUCCUUCUCCUUCUUCUUUUAUUUAUUUCGUUUUCUAUACGUUGUGCUUAGACCCAACGAUGACUAUUUUUCUUUUAACGUCCCAACGAUGACUACAUAGAAAAUAUAUUUAAAAUAAAUUUUUCUUUCAUUUAUCAACCUCUUCUAAAGUUCCAAAUUGCUUUAAAAUUUCCACCUAACAACCUUUCCUCUUCUUUAACAUUACUUGGAAAUACUAUAUAUAUAACUGCCGUGAUGCAAAAACAAAUUAUGUAGAAUCGUUUUUAAUAUAAUUUUUGACUAAAGGUUUGUACGUAGAAUCGUUAUUUGAUAGUUAAAAAAAUAUCAAAUGAGUGUAAAUGCAUUUAAAAUAACACACUCAUGAAAAGUGAUAUGAUUUGAAAAAUUCAAAUAUGCGGGUUUUGUUGUUGGUUUCCUGCUUUGGUUAACAUUUUCCAUUUGGACAUAUUACAGCUGGUAAAAUAUAUAAUAAAGGAAACAGAAGUAAAAGUCACCACCAAGAACAAGAAGGGUUUUGUAGCGGUUGACCUUCUCAACAAAGAUGAUGGAGAUUUCCUUCAGCUAUUUACCGCUCUGAUGAUGUGUGAUCUGGAAAUAGUAAUUGAACGCCCACCGAGUCCUAGAGAAAUGGGAAAUUUUGAUAGCCAAGAAGUCGAUGACUUGAAGCUCCAGAAGGAAAUUGUAAGAGUUAAAAGUAGUCCAAACAAAAAAUUUGAGAUGCAAUUGGAGGCUUUGCAAAGCGCUAGGAAUACUCUCACCAUUGUCGCGGUCUUGAUUGCAUCGGUUACUUUUACAUGCGGUAUAAACCCACCUGGUGGGGUCUAUCAAGAAGAACAUUCCAUAGGGAAAUCAACCGCGGCAAGAACCUUAGCUUUCAUGAUCUUCAAGAUAAGCAAUAGCAUCGUUUUGUUUACAUCAGUGAGUAUGGUCGUUCUUCUGGUUUGCAUUAUACCAUACAACGAAGAUUCACUUUUGAAAUUCUUGGUUAUAGCUCAUAGGAUGAUGUGGGUGGCUGUUGGAGCCAUGGCAAGUGCUUAUGUCUCCGCAACAUCGGUAAUUUUACCUAAUUUUAGAGAAACCAAAUGGUUACUCUAUGCAGGGCCGGAUCUGGGGAUAACCUGAUGAAACAUCCGCCUAUAGCUUCCAAAAUUUUUCUUUGAUUAUUACGAAUUUUUGGGCCUCCAAAUCACAAAAAAAAUAUUUGUUCUUAAAUUGUUUCUAGCCCCCAAAUUUUCAGAUCCCAUCCUGACACUAUGCCACUCUUGCUAUCGCUAGCUUGACGCUAGGCGUUAUGUUUGUUUAUCUACAUUUCAAGCUGGCUAAAUAUCAAAUAAGGAAGGGUCAUCUUCUUGACCACUUGACUAUCCCGCCAGUGCGCAAGGAUAGGUACGUAGACAUGGCCGCUAAUCUAAAAAAAGGCUACUAUAGUUUAGCAUGAUACUAAAUACUAGAUAAGGAUGGACUUAUAAUAAGAUAUUCUACAAUUUAAGCGAAUAAUUAACUUUGAAUCAUUUUCUAUUAUAUAAUAAGAUUUUAUAAGUCACAUGAUCUAUGAGUGAUUGAUGGUUUUUUUAUGUGUGUCGAUGCUUAUCAUCUCCAAUGUUCAAAUUGGGAUAUAUGUUGUAGACAAAAAAAAAAAAGAACAAUAACAAAUGUUUUUGGAUAAUAUGUUUGUUGACAACAAGUUUUUUUUUUAAAUGUACAAUAUCAUUUUUAUCUAUUAUGGAUACAAAAAAAAAACUCUUUUCAGAUUCAAUGCUUUUGUAUCAACUUUUUUUACUUUUAUUUGAUAGAUGUCCUCUCCAACUCAGGUUCGAUCCUCUAUAUAUCUUAUGUGAAUUGUAUCUUUAUUAAGGCCGUAGAACUAGGCCCAAAAGGUUUCCAUAACUAGCAGAAACUGAAACGUGCAAAUCAUAUAUAUUACAAAGGAAGCUAAAGUAAAUAACAAAAAGACUUCUUGUUUGGGUAGGGGCCAGACAGAACAACUUAAGUUUAAAAAAAAAAGGGUAGCUAUAGAAAUUAGAGAGGAAAUUAGUCCUCAAAAAGUAAAUUCUGAAGUUGAAGCUACAAUGUCUUUGUUCAAAGACUUUAUUUAGAGGUAAAGCUAUGCCUUGUAACCACCAAAUAGCUCCUUUUCAUCUACACUCUCAAUAUUUUUUUAAACCAUCUCUGCGUUGCCUUCCCUUGACUUGUCUAUCUCUCUCCAACUUCCCUCCUUCAAUAUAAAGCCUAAUUCUUAAACCGAAUUCCCCUAAACCGAACCGAUCUAUACCAUACCAACAAGAAUCUUGGUUACGGUUAAUCAGAUAAAUUAACAACAACGUCUUGAAUGUUAUAGUUAUAUACCGGGAAAAAAACCAAAGCUUUUUCUUAACAGAAACCCAUUACAUCAAACCGUGGCCUUUGUAAUUCUAACAAACAAAAACAUUUCAUUUUCUUCACAUGAAACAUCAGAUACGAUCUGCCAUUAAUAACCUAAACACAAAGCAAGGUUAGGUAAAUGACAUAGACCCUUUUGAAUAACCAAACAUACACAAUACAUAACAACGUAAGAUCCCAUUUUCCCUCUUCGGACAUCCAUCUCCAUUCAGACAAAACCACAUUCAGAAAAGAAAAGGCGAACAAAGACAGUAAACAGAACAGAGCAAAAAAACAGAGAAAGAUGCAAUUGCAUAUAUCUCCGAGCUUGAGACAUGUGACUGUGGUCACAGGGAAAGGAUUGAGAGAGUUCAUAAAAGUGAAGGUGGGUUCUAGAAGAUUCUCGUAUCAGAUGAUGUUUUACUCUUUGCUCUUUUUCACUUUUCUUCUCCGAUUCGUCUUCGUUCUCUCCACCGUUGAUACUAUCGAUGGCGAUCCGUCUCCUUGCUCCUCUCUUGGUACGUUUCUUCUACUUCUCUCUUUCUUGCUUUCUUUUAUCUAAAUCCGGAAAUUUAAGUUAAUGUUUCAACUACUAAUCGCAAGAUAUUUUUUUUGUUUUUCUUUUCGCUCUGAAUUUAAAAUUUUGAUUUCCUCACAUUUUCUUGAAAAAUUUGUAAAUAGAUAACUGCGUUUUCAUUGUUACUUUUGAUCAUUUUGUAGAUACACUAAUAAAUAAAUAUACAAUAGUUGAAGUUCAUGUAAAAGAAUAAUCUAAACGAAUGAUAUUCAAUUACUUCUAGAGAUUUACGCCCAAAAGUGAAUAAUCCAAGAACUGGUCGGUUUGUUUCAGGUUUAUUUUGUAGUGUAAUGGUCGAGCUUCAUCAAAUAUUUAAAAUCAUUUCAAAGAUUCAAAAGAGAGAAAUUAGUUAAUCUCAUAAUUAAAACAUUAUCUAGAUAUGAGACAAAGUUUUCUUUUUUUUAUUUCUAAUUAACAGCUUGCUUGGGAAAAAGACUAAAGCCAAAGCUUUUAGGAAGAAGGGUUGUUGAGUCUGGUGUAAGUUCUCUAACUUCAAUUUCAGACCCUUGAACACAUUUACAUUUACUGUGGUUAAAAAAGGUUAUUUUUCUUUGGUUAUUUAGAAUGUUCCAGAAGCUAUGUACCAAGUUUUGGAACAGCCGUUAAAUGAACAAGAGCUAAAAGGAAGAUCAGACAUACCUCAAACACUUCAAGAUUUCAUGUCAGAAGUCAAAAGAAGCAAAUCAGACGCAAGAGAGUUUGCUCAAAAGCUAAAAGAAAUGGUCACAUUGAUGGAACAAAGAACAAGAACGGCUAAGAUCCAAGAGUAUUUAUACCGACACGUCGCAUCAAGCAGCAUUCCCAAACAACUUCACUGUUUAGCUCUUAAACUAGCCAACGAACAUUCCAUAAACGCAGCCGCACGUCUCCAGCUUCCAGACGCCGAGCUAGUCCCAACCUUAGUCGACAACAACUACUUUCACUAUGUCUUGGCUUCAGACAAUAUUCUUGCAGCUUCGGUUGUGGCUAAGUCAUUGGUUCAAAACUCUUUGAGACCUCACAAGAUCGUUCUUCACAUCAUAACGGAUAGGAAAACUUAUUUCCCAAUGCAAGCUUGGUUCUCAUUGCAUCCUCUGUCUCCAGCAAUAAUUGAAGUCAAGGCUUUGCAUCAUUUUGAUUGGUUAUCAAAAGGGAAAGUCCCGGUUUUGGAAGCUAUGGAGAAGGAUCAGAGAGUGAGGUCUCAAUUCAGAGGUGGAUCAUCGGUUAUUGUGGCUAAUAACAACGAAAAUCCGGUUGUUGUUGCUGCUAAGUUACAAGCUCUUAGCCCUAAGUAUAACUCCUUGAUGAAUCACAUCCGUAUUCAUCUACCAGAGGUAAGUUCCAUAAUUGAGAAAAUACUUGAGCAUUAUAUUACCCCUUUGAAUGCCUCAACAGUCUUUGUUUCUUCGCAGUUGUUUCCGAGCCUAAACAAGGUUGUGUUUCUAGACGAUGACAUUGUGAUCCAAACUGAUCUUUCACCUCUUUGGGACAUUGACAUGGAUGGGAAAGUGAAUGGAGCAGUGGAGACAUGUAGAGGAGAAGACAAGUUUGUCAUGUCAAAGAAGUUCAAGAGUUACCUCAAUUUCUCAAACCCGAUAAUUGCCAGAAACUUUGACCCAGAGGAAUGUGCUUGGGCUUACGGGAUGAAUGUUUUCGACUUAGCGGCUUGGAGAAAGACUAACAUAAGCUCCACUUACUAUCAUUGGCUUGACGAGGUAAUUCAAAACCACUAACUAAAACAUAACUCAUUAUCAAGUGGCAUUCAACUUAAAACUCAUGACCAUUUUCAUGCAUUAUGUUGCAGAACUUAAAAUCAGACCUGAGUUUGUGGCAGCUGGGAACUUUGCCUCCCGGGUUGAUAGCUUUCCACGGUCAUGUCCAGACCAUAGAUCCGUUCUGGCAUAUGCUUGGUCUUGGAUACCAAGAGACCACGAGCUUUGCUGAUGCUGAAAGCGCAGCUGUUGUUCAUUUCAACGGAAGAGCUAAGCCUUGGCUUGAUAUAGCAUUUCCUCAUUUACGUCCUCUCUGGGCUAAGUAUCUUGAUUCCUCUGACAGGUUCAUCAAGAGCUGUCACAUUAGAGCUUCAUCAUAAUAAUCACAAAACCAAAACUCAGUUCGUACAUUGGCUAAAACCCAGAGAAGAGAGAGAUUCACAGAUCCAAACAUGAAACAUAGGAGCAAACUUUUCUUCAAUGGAGUUUGUACUUCUCUGGUCAAGAUACCCUCUUCCAGAUCAUGUUUUGCUGUCUCUUUAGUUUUCAGUCUCUCCUGUUUCUAAUUUUUUGUACUUUCAAGACUCUUAUGGCGAGGAACAUUCUAUGUAUUAAUGUAAGAACACAUAAUGUGUGAGAAUAUCUGCCAAACUCUACUUAAAUUUACAUGUGAAUAGAUAACAUUGCGCAAAGCAAUUGGAGUUUUACAAUGUCAUAUCAUUGUUCAACAGAUAACAGUUACGAAGAUAACACCAUAAAACGAAAGCAACGAUAAGACUAAGAAAGCCGAGAAAGAGGAGAGCAAAACAAAUGGAGACUUUUCUUUCAGCGGAAGCGAGAAGCAAACCAAUUGAUGAUUUUUUUUCCUGAGGUCUUUGUCUCCCAGUUAAGCAACUGGUGGACGAAGGACAUGAUCCUGAGAAGUAUCGACUGAAGCAGGAGGCAUGAACUGCCACAUGGCAACUCCUGGGUAACUGAUGAUUGGCACCAUCUUGUUUCCGGGAGCUUGGCCUUGUGCAGAAGCAAAAGCAGUUGGCAUCAUAGGUGGAGCUGGGAAAAAGCUUGGUUGAGGAGCAUUCAUGGUUUUCAGCUGUUGCUCCAGCUUCUCUUUCUCUGUCUUCAGCCUCUGUUUCUCAUCUCGCAACUCGUUUUUCUCAGUCUGAUCGAAAUCACAAGGAAACUAGUAAGCAUUUCGAUGAAUUUCAAUGGAUGACCACAAAUCAAAGAAAAUUUUUACCUUUAACUCUUUGAUUUUGUCCUGGAGACUUGAAUUGGAGUCCUUCAACUUCUGGGCUUCGCCCCGUAGCUGUGCCACCAUGCGGACAGCAUCAACCAAGAUUGCAGCCUUGUCUGUUUUGGGAGGAUUCCCAGGCUCCAAAAUUGCACCCAAUUCCGUAAACCUGUUAUUCAUUAAAAAAGGCUAUAAAUUUCAGUUCCUACGUGAGGGAAAAGAAGGAAAUACGAAAUAAAAAGAUUACUUGUCAUUCAAUCUGUCACGUCGCAGCUUCUCUCUACAUGCUUUUGAGCCAGUGGCAGAGGAUGAUUCACAUCUACCCCUGAGACAAGUAAUGACCAGUGUUACUUUUUUCCGAAACCUUGUCAAGCCAAAAGCAUUUGAAGAGAGCCAAUACAAAUCCCCCAAAACAGUUCAGUCAUGAACUGGUUUCUCAAAGUUUUAAAUUCCAGAAGUUGCUAUAGUUUCGUGUUUCAGUCAGUUUUUCGAAUAAAAGCGCGACAGAUGAAGUUUACCAGAAGAAGCUUACCUCUUUUUGGAGCCAGGUUCCUUGCUGGCUUCUGAAUUUCCAGCUGAGACAUCAACUCCCGCGCUGAAUCAACAAGAAAAAACAUCAAAGCAACUAAGUUAUUACUACAAUACAAACAAUCGAAGAGAAUUACCAGAAAUCAUUCUAACACUUAUCUAUAUCCAACAAAAGCUCCGAAAACUUAUAGUCAAUCAGGCAAAAACUUACAGCUGCUCAUUACCAAGGAACAAGAUUUAUUAAGAAUAUUUAGCAUGGUUAGGUCAAACCAGCCACUCAGAUAGAAGGCCCUAUCCACAAAAACGAAUCUAAUUCCCACCUAAUAAAGUGAUAUAGAUCAAUCGAUUCCGGAAUCUAGCAACAUGUCAGAAGUACACUAAAACAUGUCAGGCACACACACAGUUGACUUUGGAUAAACAAACCAAAGACCUCUCCUGAAGACUUCACAUCAUUUUACGAAGUGCAACGAAAUCUCACCAGCUAAAGAAACCAAUUUUUAAGCUUAAAAAGUAUAUUUCGAUGGUAAAGAAGUAACAAUAGGGUCUCAGUUUCUUCUCUAUAAGCUACUCAAACAAUCCCACAAGCUUCAACUUAGCCAAGCAAAUUACGAAGUCCACCACAAUUUUACUCUUGAAAUAUUGUUUUUUUUUAAACCCUAUGAGAAAAAAGUCCAUUUUUUUAGCUGAAUAUGCUAAUAUGUGAGCAAGUAAUUAGGCUUUUCCUUGAUCAAAAUGAAACGCCACACACUCGCAUGCCAGUGUUAACCAGAAGAAAUUCUUCAAGCAAUCACACAAACAUGCUACACUAAUUUCUCCCAAAUCAAUCUGAAGCUCUUAAAAACAGAUCAGAACCCUAAUUUGAAGCACUUAG
rnacentral:lncRNA from 1 species